GGGAGUGGUUUUUUUGUCCGACCAGCUGAAAUGUUUGCACCAUUGGAAUGAUUGCCAUAGCACUAUGCUGAAUACCUCCCAUCGUAAUUAAUGGCCAUGACAAACUUAAUUUCAAUGGGUCUACUCUGCAUAGGGCUUGGUUAGAUACAACACAUAGUUAAUACCAUUUGCAUGAUUCAGGGGAUAGGAUUGGCCUUCCCCAUGACUAAGCCGGGUUCUCGUGUCUUGAGCUAAAGCUUGCCAGGCAGAAAUUCAACAUUUCCACACCAACCAACCUCCACAGAGAACUGCACACCUGUUGAAUGUCUGCCUGUCAUGUCUCUGUUACAGGUACAAAAGCCCUGCCCUGUGACUCAAAAUAAUCCUUGUUUUGGAGCCAAACUUUUUCCAUGGAGGGAGAUAUUUUCUUGCAACAUGAUCUUGAGUUGCUCAACUUUUUUGAGUGGAAGACGCUCCCUGCUGAGAGAAGGAACACUGGCCUUGGGCUGAUCGCCACUCUUGUUGGGUUGAAAACCAGGGAGAACGAGGAACGCUGCCUUGAGGGUUUUUUUUUUAACUGGAGAGGGGGACGAGGGCAGGAUAUAAACGCAAUAAAUCAGCAACCACCCUUCAUCCUUAUUGUUGUACUAGACAGGCGCCCUGCCUUCCGUGCGGGAUCCUCAUCAAUAUAGGACCCCUUCGCUCUGAAUUUAUAUGUACUCAACACGUGCCUACAAGUUCCCUGUCACACGCAGCGCAAACAAGGCUUGCUUAACAGAACAAAAAAUAGGUUUCGCGGUGGGAUGGGAACCAUACAGCAGCCCCACCCCGUUACCCUCUGCGCGACAAAAUGGCGGCUGGCUUCCCUGGGAAACUGAGCAGCCACGGCAGCCGGCAGAGCGACAGAAACACGGACACCGUGAGGGAGAGAUAUGGUUGCAUAAUUCGCGAGACCCACAAAACCAGGCAGUUUUGACGCCAUUUUGUUUGUUUCCCCACCCGCGCUAGCCGAGUAAAGGGGGAAGCUGCCCAUGGAGAAACGCAGCGCUUUGGUAUAAACGCAGCUGCUGGGCAGCAACUUGUGCCCCCCCCCGAAAAGGAAGAUCUAAGCUGCGAAUAUUUCGCGUUAGCUUGUCGGCAUUUGAGAAAUAUAUAUGCAGCAAAUGCCUAUUAGCUUCCGCAUUGCAGACGGGGAGGGAAGAGGGGAGUCACCGAGAACUGCUCUGGCUGCGUCUUUAUCCCUGCAUUGCAGAAGUGGGGCCGUAGAAGCAGCGGCUUCCUUAUGCGGCUUAAGAGGCGGCACGGAGUGACUCCGCAGUAUAUGGAUAGGACAUGGGAUCGUCGGCGGGUUGCUUAACAGUCUGGAAAUGCAGUUGACACAAUGGUAAGUCCGGCUCCCGAUUUCGGGCUCGCAAGCUGCCGCCUCGCCCAGUAGGAGCGGCGCCUGCGUCUCGGCGAUAAUGCGGCAGCGCGCAAGGUGCUGCUCUCCAGCAACGGACUCUCUUCCGCGCAAUGAUUAACUAGCGCUUUAAAAUACUGCCGCUUCGACUUUGUACCUCUCAUCCCUUUCUAGCGAGAAUUGUUCUGUAUCUCCAGCUAAAAAAAAUCUUACAAGACUGCAAGAAAUCUAUACCGGACUUGAAUUGGCCUUCCAUGAUCAGCUCCCCCACCACCACCCAGCACUCAGUUGGGCAUGUUUAUCAUGCAGGCCACGCACUAUUAAGGUCAAUUGGAAAGCAUGCAUUGACCCAGCCUCGUGGGCCUGGCAGACGGCAGCAGGAAACAUCCUCCUAGCUUCUCUCUGAAUGGCACAAAACAAAGUGUGCAGGGCCCAUUAGCGUCAGCCUAAUUUUGAGAUGGCCUACUACGCCCCCCCACCCCAUAUAGGAAAAGAGAAACCCUUUGGUAAAGGUUCUUGAAAUGGGGCCUACCAUCUAAUCCAGGCCUAUGUAGUUUGCAUAGCCCAGCUUCUGAAUUUGCAGUCUCAAAAUGACUCAAGUAAAUUCUAUUUUUAAUAUAUAAUUUAUAUUUAAUCUUCUAAUUUACAUUUAAACAACUUUAUCUUGUGUAUUUUUCUCUUGUGAAUUGCCUUGAUAGCCCGAAGAGCAAUUGUUCUGCACAACUGGAAGGGCUAAUUUAUUCUCAUGGAUGUGAAUCCUCCCCAACUGCUUAAGUAUGUUAAGCUACUGGUGGAUUUCCAGAUGCUAGACCCAUUAGGUAAAGGGGCCUAAUAGCUGGACACGAAAAGCUGUUCAAAGGGUCAUUAGGCACAGUGAUUAAAAUGUUUUUUGUCUCGAUUUCACCAUGUUUUGUGUAGUGAUUAAAAUCUGGUCUAGUAUUUUAGAACAAACAAUUCCAUGAAAAUGCAGUAUUUUCCUCUAACCCUCCUGGACUGUUAAGGAACUCAAAAUCAUUUAAAUGCUGCAGAC